GUGCUGGCUUCAGCAGCACAUAUACUAAAAUUGGAGUGAUACAGAGAAGAUUAACAUGGGCAAGGAUGACAUGCAAACUCUGGAAACAUUCCAUAUUAAA
ensembl:snRNA U6 U6 spliceosomal RNA